AUGAUCGAUAGACUCAAAAAGGAUACCAACAUGCUGAAAAUGUAUGGCGACAUAAUUAAGGACCAAAAACGCCGAGGGUUCAUUGAGCGGGUAACAGAAAAUGGAAACCAGUCAAACAGAAUUCACUACAUUCCUCACCAUGCAGUAAAAAAGGACUCAUCUACGACUCCUAUACGUAUAGUCUAUGAUUGUAGUUGUCACGAAUCACCUCACAAGGCUAGUUUAAACGAUUGUCUCAUGUCAGUUCCGCCGAUGUUAAACGAUUUGACGGGAAUUUUAGCUAGAUUCAGAUUACACAAGCACGCAGUGACUACCGACAUAGAGAAAGCGUUUUUGAAUGUCGAACUGGAUAAAGAAGAUAGGGACGUCACAAGAUUUUUUUGGUUGAGUGAUCCAUCUGACCCAGACAGUCCACUGAUAACUUACCGUUUUAGAGUCGUUCUAUUUGGAACUACAUGCUCACCUUACAUCUUGAAUGCCACCCUUAUGAAGCACUUCAAACUCAAUUCUUGUAAAACAGCCGAGAUACUGAAAAACGACCUGUAUGUUGACAAUGUUUUGUCAAGCUUCUGGGAUGAGAAAGAAAUGCUGAAAUUCUACAGAGAAUCACGAGAUUUAUUGGCAAGAGGAGGAUUCAAUCUGAGAUCAUGGACGUCAAAUAGCACAGAAUUACUACGCUUAGCCCAAUCUGAAAAAUGCAUAGAAAGAGAUACGAACAUCAAAAUUCUUGGUCUCCGUUGGAAUGUGAACAACGAUCAAAUCUCGUUUCAAAACAACAUAAAUACAACAACGGAAAGGAUAAUAACAAAACGUGAGAUCUUAAAACAAUCUUCAAACAUUUAUGAUCCGCUAGGUCUGCUUAGCCCCGUCACCGUCAGAACAAAGAUGUUAAUGCAAUUGUUGUGGAAAGAAAAGUUUGCAUGGGACUGCCCUUUACCAAAAGAAAUCGAAUCAACAUGGAGUGAUUUGACCAAAGAUCUACAAUUUGCAAUGAACAUUGAGAUUCCUAGAUGUUAUUUUUGAGUGUUCAGGAAUAACGGACAUUGAAACAGCAGAAUUACAUAUUUUCACAGAUUCAAGUCAACUAGCUUAUGGAACCUGUGCGUAUCUUGUCACAGAAAAGGAGUCUGCAUUAGUAAUGGCAAAGAAUCGAGUUGCCCCAUUGAAAAGUGUCACUCUACCUAAUCUUGAACUGAUGGCUGCCCUUUUAGGGGCUCGACUUGCGAAACAUCUUAUUCAAAAUCUACAUAUUGGAAACUUACAAAUCAACUUCUGGUGUGACAGUCAGAUCGUUUUGAAAUGGCUUCAAUCAACAAAAACCACUCAAAAAGUUUGUCGCAAACAGAGUCAAGGAAAUUAAGGAGUCAAAUGAAAAUCAAAAAUGGCGUUAUUGUCCGACGGAUGCAAAUCCUGCAGAUUUAUUAACUAGAGGCAUAACAGGAACGAAAUUCAUAAACAACAAAUUAACAGAUUAUGGUUUCAUGGACCCGAGUGGAUAACAGACAAAACACAAUGGCCAACAUGGAGCGGAAACGAAAUUGUUGAAAACGAGAAUAUAAUGGAGAUUCCCACUAAUGAAACCUCAGAAAAACAGCACGUCUUACUCACAUCUCAGAAACGUCAAGAAUUUGGCAUACAUAAGAUUAUGGAUAUCGAACGUUAUAGCAGUUUGAAGACAUUAAUACGUGUUACAGCCUAUGUGAUGAGAUUUAUACAAAACUGUAAGUUAGCACGGAGUGAUAGAACAUUGUCGGAAUUAACCGUUAAUGAAAUACAGCAUGCUACAUUGACAUGGAUACAAACGGUUCAGAAAUCAGAAUAUCAUGAAGUGUUUAAUUAUUUCAACAAAUCUGUGACAGUUAAGCCGUCUAUUGUAAGACAAUUGAACUUGUACUUUGAUGAAGAAAAUGCACUUCGUUGCCGCGGGAGAAUUCAACAUGCACCUUUGGAGGAAUCAGCUAAACAUCCAUACUUGUUACCUCCGUUACAUAGACUCACUUCACUCAUUAUUAUGGAUGCUCAUAUCAAUCAUUUACAUGAAGGCGUCAACUCUACCGUAACACACUUGCGACAAGUAUACUGGAUACCUCGAAUUCGUCAACGAGUCAAAGUUAUUCUUAGAAAAUGCGUUAACUGUCGGAAAGUAACAGGGCAUGCUUACCAACAACCUGAUCCACCGCCACUGCCCAAAGAGAGGUUACACGAGGAUAUACCGUUUACUGUUACAGGCGUAGACUUUGCUGGUCCUAUGUAUGUGCGAAAUACAGAUGAUACAAAAUCAAAGGUAUACUUAUGUUUGUUUACAUGUGCGUCGACGAGAGCUGUUCAUUUAGAACUUGUGAAUAACUUAUCAGAACCUACAUUUAUGUUAGCCUUCAGAAGAUUCGCAAGCAGGAGAUCCUUACCGAAGUUACUAAUAUCUGACAAUGCACUAACUUUUGAAGCUGCCAGUCGAGAAAUCAAACAUCUUACAAACUCAAAUUCAGUGCGCGAAAGUCUAAGCUCUACAGGAACAAAGUGGAAAUUUAUUACAAAGAAAGCUCCGUGGUUUGGUGGUUUCUAUGAACGGUUGAUUGGGUUAACGAAAAUGUGUUUAAAGAAAGUAUUAGGAAGUAACUGUGUCGAUUUAGAGACUUUACAAACUGUGUUAACAGAGAUCGAAGCAACUCUCAAUGAUAGACCUCUAACGUAUGUUUCAUCCGAUCUUACGGAUCUAGAACCACUGACACCAUCACAUCUUUUGUAUGGUCGAAAAAUUACGCGACUUCCGUAUCCAGCUAGUGAAAACAAUGGACAUUUUGAACCAAUUAACUUUAACAAACGUGUUCAAUUACAAAGAGACAUUCUAAACCACUUUCAACAGCGAUGGAAAUAUGAGUAUUUGACCUCAUUACGGGAACAUCACAGAAGUGUAGGAAAUAACGAACAAUCGAUAGCUAUUGGUGAUGUUGUUCAAAUACAUGACGAAACUUUAAGAAAUUCAUGGAAACUCGCCGUUGUCGAAGAACUCGUAAAAGGAGAGGAUAAUCUUAUCAGAACUGUAAAACUUCGCACUAAAAACGGAACCACCAACCGCCCAAUCACGAAAUUAUACCCAAUCGAAGUGAACUGUAUUGAAUCUGAACCGGAGGAUGUUACACGACCCAAGAUGUUCCGUCAGGCGAAGUCAGAUGCCGUACAAAAGAUUCACGAGUGGACAAAAUAA
rnacentral:sRNA from 1 species